UGUGAGCGCGCAGCGUAGGCGUUACGUCACUGAAGUCCUCGAGCUCUGGGAAGAUGCUGCUGUAUGUCUGCAAAUAAUAAAAUGUUAAAACAAUACAAAGAGACAUAGGCCGCUACCCUUCCAUCACACAUCCUUUGGACAGAGGGUCGUUCCGUAUCGGAUGAAAUACAUCAGCCAUACGAGGGUCCAAUAGUUGCCCAAUCUCAGCCUUUGCUGGACAGAUAAAGCACACACAUUCCUUUAAAACACAUGAGAUGAAGAUGACGUGGCCUGUUUAGUAGCACACUCCUUAUCUUCAUUUUUGGAGGGUUACCCUUGCCUGAACUCUAAACCUGCCAAUAUGUAUGGAAGUUCACGCUCAGUGAGCAAAAUAGACAGUAAUCACAGCGGAGGUAGAAAUAACCAGGGCAACACGGGACGCUCACCCCGUCUGCCUCGGUCACCCCGCAUGGGCCACCGUCGCACCAACAGCAUGGGGGGCAGUGGGGGAGGCCCAGGAGGCUCUGGAGGCAAAACAUUGUCUAUGGAGAACAUUCAAUCUCUCAACGCUGCCUAUGCCACAUCAGGGCCAAUAUACAUGAGUGACAAUGAAGUCGCAAUCGGCACCUCAUCCGAUCUCCCCAAAGGUGGGGUGACGACGGGCCGUUUCGGUGGCAGCAUCCCUUAUAGUGUCAGAGGGGCGGUGAUGGGCAGCACCCCUGACAUGGCAAUGGUGCCGGCAGUGUCGACCGACUCCAUGGGCUUUGGAGGGGAGAUCCACGCGGCAUCAACUGUUCCUCACUCCCUACGUCAGGCGAGGGACAACACCAUCAUGGAGCUGCAAGCCCAGCUCAAGGAGGUGCUGAGGGAAAACGAGCUUCUCCGGAAGGAGAUUGAAGUGAAGGAGAGCAAGCUCAGCUCCUCCAUGAGCUCCAUCAAAAGCUUCUGGAGCCCAGAGCUAAAGAAAGAGCGUGCGCUACGCAAAGAUGAGGCCUCCAAAAUAGUGGUGUGGAAGGAACAGUACCGUGCAGUGCAAGAUGAGACACAGCACCUGCAGACGGCAGUGCAGGCGCUGCAGGCCGAGCUGCGCAUUCAGCGUGACUUAAACCAGCUGCUGCAGCCAGCCGGGGAGCCGCUGGCCUGCGAGCCCAGCGAUGAGCAAGAAAGGCAGGCUCGAGAGCUUUUCUUACUCCGCCGUACCCUUGAAGAGAUGGAGGUUCGCUUGGAGACCCAGCGUCAGACGCUUGCUGCUCGCGACGAGUCGGUCAAAAAGCUCCUUGAGAUGUUGCACAGCAAAGGACCCGCCACUAAAAUCAGCGAGGAAGAUCACGAGCGAACGUGCCGCCUCGCGGAUGCUGAGAUGCACGCACACCACCUGGAGAACCUUCUUGAACAGCGUGACAAAGAGCUAGCAGCUUUGAGAGAGGAGCUGCAUCGCCGUCUCGAGGGGACGCCAGAGACUACAAAAACCAAGGCUCUUCAGACUGUCAUUGAGAUGAAGGAUUCUCAGAUCGGUUCUCUGGAGCGAGGUCUCAGAGAGCUGGAGGAUCAAGUCAUGAUGCUACGAUCCAGCAGCAUGCUCAGCUGUGAAGAACGGCAGGAGGAGGCCAAGCAGAUGGAGGUGUACCGCAACCACACCAAGUUCAUGAAGAACAAGAUGGACCAAGUUAAGCAAGACCUUUCCAGGAAGGACACUCAGCUCCUAGGCUUGCAGACCAAGUUGGAGACCCUGACUAACCAGUUCUCUGACAGCAAACAGCAUAUUGAAGUGCUCAAAGAGUCCCUGACUGCCAAAGAACAGCGUGCUGCUAUAUUACAGACUGAGGUGGACGCUCUGCGGUUGCGUCUAGAAGAGAAAGAGACCACGCUAAACAAGAAAAGCAAGCAGAUCCAGGAAAUGUCAGAGGAAAAGAGCACGCUCAACGGAGAAAUCCACGAUCUUAAGGACAUGCUGGACGUCAAGGAGCGGAAAGUCAACGUACUUCAGAAAAAAAUUGAAAACCUGCAGGAGCAGCUGAGGGAUAAAGAGAAGCAGAUGGGCAGCCUUAGAGAGAGGGUGAAAUCCCUACAAACUGAUACUUCUAAUACAGACACAGCCCUCACCACACUGGAGGACUCGCUGGCUGAGAAGGAACGUAUUAUUGAGCGUCUGAAGGAGCAACGUGACCGCGAGGAGAGGGAGAAAGCAGAAGAGCUGGACAGCAGUAAAAAAGAGCUGAAAGAGUUGAAGGAGAAAGUCAGCAUGCUGCAAGGCGACCUUUCAGACCGUGAGACCUCACUGCUGGAUCUUAAAGAGCAUGCAUCUUCGCUGGCCUCGUCCGGCCUGAAGAAAGACUCUAAACUGAAAAGCCUAGAGAUCGCUCUUGAACAACGGAGGGAGGAGUGCAUCAAGCUUGAGAACCAACUGAAGAAGGCCCAGAGCGCCGCGGCCAACUCACAUGCCAACUCUGAGCUAUCCGAGCGCAUUUCUUCACUGGAAGCUGAUGUAGGGAGGCACAGGGAGGACUCUGCUAAAGCUCAGGCUGAAGUCGAUCGGCUGCUGGACAUCCUGCGCCAGAUGGAGAAUGAGAAGAAUGACAAGGAUAGAAAAAUCAGCGAGCUUGAGAGCGUGGCUUCCAGGCAAAUAAAAGAGCAGACAAAGAAACCUUCAGGCAAACACAAGGAGCCGCCAGGAAAGGGCCGAAAUGUCAAUGAUGGCCCGCAGCAGGAAUCCUUGCGGCAGAAGGUGGAGCGCAUUGAGGAGCUGGAGGAGGCACUGAGAGAAAGCGUUCAAAUCACUGCGGAGAGAGAGCUGGUGCUGGCACAAGAGGAAGCAGCGAGAAACCACCAGGAGAAACAGAUGGAGGAGCUGCUCGGAGCGAUGGAGAAAGUGAAGCUGGAACUUGAGUCCAUGAAGGCUAAGAUGUCAUCCACCCAACAGUCUCUGGCAGAGAAAGAAGCUCAUCUGACCACAUUGAGGGCCGAGAGGAGGAGACACCUGGAAGAAGUGCUAGAGAUGAAACAGGAGGCUCUGCUGGCUGCCAUUAGCGAGAAGGAUGCUAACAUAGCCCUGCUGGAGCUGUCCUCGUCUAAAAAAAAGAAAACACAAGAGGAAGUGGCUCAGCUCCGAAGAGAGAAAGAUCGGUUAGUGCAGCAACUCAAACAGCAGACACAGAAUCGUAUGAAGCUAAUGGCGGAUAAUUAUGACGACGGCUACUUGAAAACCCCACCAGACCAGACCAAUCACAAGCCUCCUAAAUCACCUGAUCAGAUAAGAUCUGGGCGGAAAGCCGGAGUGCACAGGAGCUCUACACUGGCCACCUGAUUAUCCCGUACAACCACGCCACACCCUUUGUACCUACAGAAUCAUCUCAGCCUACAUCUUAUCACACCAACUUAUCCAGGACCUCACCCACAAAGACAUUACAUUCACAUAUUCACAGUGGGAGCUGAAGUUUGGAUUUUUGGACCCUGCUUUGGAUCUCUGGGAUUGGGGCAGUCACGAUCAAACCCUCCUCACUGUUUCUCUCCCCUCGCAUCUCAUCUGAACAAUCCAAAACCAUAAAAGAGCCUCAAACGGUUUCUAGUCUUAAUACUGUUGCAGAGUUGAAAAUAUGCAGUGUUCGUUGAAUCGUGAAUGCAUUUUUAUUUCGUUUCUUGAUAUGUCAUCAUGGUUGAGUAUACACAGGUUUAGAAUGUUAAACUGAUCAAUGGGUGGUGCUAUAUAAACAUAACUGAAUGCCAAACUGUUGUACAACAAUAAAAAAAGUGUUAUGCUAAUUUAACUGCA